UCUAAACAAAACAUACAAACCUGAUACAGCCACACUAUUUAUUGUCCAUUGUUUGCGCUGAUCACACACACAUUCUUAUUUCUAAUGACAGAGGUUAGUAGCAUCCCCAGCAAGUCAAACUAGUGGCUCAGCCUUCAAUAAGCCUGAGCAAGACUAGAGCAACACAAAGAAUCCAUCCAUUCCAGACCUACCUUAAUCCACUAUCAAGGUAUCACUUCAAGUGUCCUGCACCAGAAACAUCCAGUUCUCACUCCAACUCACUUAGUAGGUGUGUUAACGACACCCAAGACUAAAUCGUUUGAAUUGGGUGUCUGAGAUUGGGUGUCGUAUUAAACUGUAAUAUCCUGUCCUCUGGUGGAGACUCGAGACUCAGCAGCAUUACUUUAUAAUGAAACACCUCCUUUAUCAGUAAAGGCCCUUUUUCUUUUUGGAAAUUUGCCAGCCCUUACAGACAUGAUUAAUGUAAUGUUGCCAGCCCUU